UAAAUUUAAAGAAAAAUUUUGUUCCUUUAUUUAAAAUAAGGAUAACUGCAACCAUGCUGUUUUACAGAAAGCUUUAAAAGAAGAUCAGAAUCCUCAGUUUUUAUCAGACUACUGAAAAAGGGUAUUUACUCUUAAAUGUUUAGUAAGCUGAUAAGUAAAUGUAUCAAGUUUGGACUAUAUGAUAAAUUAUAAAGCUCUCUUGAGGUACUUGAUAUGAUAAAGUUUUUUUUAUAACAACAGGUUUAUAGGUAUGAUUUAAAAAAAUCUGUAGAUAGUUCAGAAAGGCAAUAUUUUCUCUGUAUUUCUUGGUCUUUUUUGUUAUCCACAUACAUAAUUUACCUUAUAUGAUUUGGUCAAUCAGGAGCUAUAACACAAUAUAGAAAUUGUGGAAUAGCUAUUAUAAAUGUUAAUACAUUUACUUUCAAGUACUCUUUACUUUUAUUUCUUUUGCUCCUUUAACUUAUUAAAGUUUAAAAGUUUCUAAGUACCUUAUUCAGAUCUGUUCUGUUGCAUUUGUUGAAGGUGGUGGUGGUGAAGGGAGGAAGUGAUCAGUGCUUCAGGAAUCUCAAACUGGAUUUAGGAUUCUCUCCAAGUCUCCAUAAGAGAACAUCACAAAGAAGAUGUUAAGGUAUCAUUUAUACAAUGACUACAACACAGUAAGCCAGCAUUGUAUCUUAUAGGUGACUAGAAAGCAAGGGCAAAGUUUAAAAUGAGAACUUGCCUUGAGAUAUCCAUUCUAAGCAUGGUAGCAAAGCAGAGAGGGCUUACUAUGAAGUAAACUAUUAAUGCUCGUAGUUCCCCCAGAUUUAUUCAGCUCACUUCUGUUUAUUAAUUGGUGUUGUGAGAGUUUUCUGGUUGCUUGGAAAAUUGCUUAGAAAAGAAUGCUUGAAGGCAUUCUAAAGGUGGAAGGACCAUUUCUACCAAUGUUCCUUCAUAUCCUCCUUAUUCUUCAUAAUGGAAUCCUGGGCUUGCCAUAUGACAUAUUCCAGUUACCUGCUGGGAUUACUAGGGCAGAUUCCUGGGAACUAAGAUGGAGUGUAAUAAUCUAGGGCUGGAUAGCAGAGCAGGGAAAGAGAUGGGUUAUGUUAACAUGGAUGAAGGAAGACAGACUUGGAAAACAAGUGUUGAUAACCUCUGCCUUAGAAGUGACAUUAUCACUAUCAUGAAUGAAGGGACAGUGUCUUCCUCUUGAAUGAUCUUCCCCAUGGCCUAAUGCCAGUCAGUACACUGGACCUUGGCUUGCUGGGUAUUAAUUCCUUUUGUGCAGUCUCAUUUGUGCAGGCACUUAACUGCUACCAGAGUAUUUGUGGUACUGGAGGACACAAGAAAACAGGGGAACCAAAGAGGAGAGGGCAUAAUUAUUACAGAAGACAGGGUAUUUUGAGUGAAGAAGUGAGAUAAGUUGGAUAUGACUUAUUCUGUGGUGAUAUGAAGGUGAACCAGUUGGAUUCUCUAGGAGGCAAAAUAGGUAAAGCAAAUAUUCUUCGGGUAUUGAGUUGAUAUGUUUAGUUUGAUCCAGCAGUUUAAGAAUGGCAAGUGGAGGAUAGGUGAAGCUUAAAACUGGAGGGCAUGCACUUCCAAGAGAGGGCAUCCUAAUCACUUGUGGGAGAUGAUGAUAAUAAACUUGAGACAUACAAGAAUUCCCCUAUUCCAGAAAUGCUAACACCUUAUCUGGCAUCUUGUGGAUUCCUUGACCAGAAAGGAAGUUUCUCCCAAAUACGAUCCUAAGGCUUUCAAAUAUUCAUUUUGGAGUAUUCUUGGAGGCAGUGUUGCAGGAGGUGAUAGAGCACUGAGCAGGUGUUCAUGGGAUGUCAAAGUAAAGUAAUAAGCUGUCAACCCAGUAGAUUACAGUCUUAUCUAUGAAGUUAUGCAAGAAAUUGUAGGCAGUGUAUAUGUGGCACCAUUGUAUACUAGAGGGCUAUUCCACAAGUGAACUCAAGGAUUAGGCACCUCAGAAGUCAGAAAGCCUAUGGCUAUAUGGAGGCCAAAAAUAGGCAGCGAUAAUAAAUAGUUUCAUUUCAAUGAAAUCUCAUACUUAUUCUGGAAGUAGGCCUCAUUAUUUUUUUUAAACACCUGUGUGACUCUGUCAGGGCUGAGAAGAGCCUGAUAAAUUGAAUAUUAAGUUGAGAAACUCAAGAAGGCCUCUGCUGGGACAUGGGCUCUGAGGCACAGGCCUUUUUUUUCCCCUCCCAUAGUUGUACUUGUGAUUGGCAUGUAACUCUAGAUCUGGGAAUUUCUGAAACUGAAGUAAAGCCACUAGUUGGUCAGGUUGUGGGCCUCCAACUAGGAUGACUUACCAUCACAAGUGGCUUGGGUAGCAGGUGGCAGUACCAACCAUUUGACAGAUUACUCCUUGGGCAUUAUGGUAGGGAUGGUUUCCUGGACCUCUGAUUGCUUCACCCCUAAGUGAGUGUAUAGUUACAGUGUCGGCCUGCAUUAAUGUAACCUUGAGUUACGGUGGAGAGGCCAGGCCUCUUGACUAAGAGUUGGUCCAUAAAGCUGCUGUCUAAUAAUCUGUAAUUGCCUCUUGGAGGCAGUUCUCCCCUAUCCAUACUUCUACCAGGUGUAGGACAACCAUUCUUCCUGCUGAGGUCUGGGAUGCUGUAAACCUUGAUGGGUCCUUGCCCUCAUCUUUUGCCGGAAUGAAUAAUAUAGUGGGCCUAAAAGGGUGUGGCAGUUAGGUGUCUGUUUUUGCUGCAAAAGUUUACUAGUUCAGAGAGCUUGAGGAAAGCUAGGGCACAGGCUGGGGUAACUAGGAGUACAGGUUAGGGGGAUCAGUUCUAGAAAGCCUUGGAGUCCCUUGCAAAACUAAGACAGUAUGAAGUAUGUCAUUUCAGCACAACACAGCUGGCCCUGCCCUUCCUCUUGCAGGAGCUUUGGAUAGGAUUAGUUAAUUUCUAUCAAUAGGACACAAUAAACUUAGAGGUUAAUGUUGCUGGAAGGGCCAGAAUAGUAACAACGAAGUUAAUGAAAGUUAAUUAGUGGGGACUUUCACCUUUAAAGGAGAGUGACUCUUUUUUUUGAGACAAGAUAGGAGAAGUCCAGCUUAAGCUGAUUUUUUUCUAUCAUCAAGAACUACUUUGAGUUUAGGGGAAGGGACUAACCAGUUUAGAGGUGAAAUUGACUUCUUAGUUUCAGGUAGUCUUAGGUUACCCAUUAUAGAUCCUCUGAACUAAGCAGAACCAUCUAAUGGAAUACUUGACCAUAUUUAAAAUACCCUGCUUAAGAUUGUAUCACAUUAAUCAGUUUCUACUUACGUUUCCAUGAUGAGGAAAGGGGAUUAGGAAGAGCUACACACCAAGAGGAUCUUCCUAUGGCCUUGACAACUAGAAAUAAUAUACUCUCUACUGUGCCUCUUUUCAUGAAUAGCUGUUGGCAGCUUCAGCCUUACUUGGAUCUUCACCAAAGUAAGGCGAGGCUGUAGUAUAGAAGUUCCACCCUUGGCUAUGAACUGAGUUUCAAUCCCAUUUUGUCUGUGACACAGUGUACUCACCAUGGAUUUUAAAGUCCACAGCUCUUCACUUAAGAACAGGAUAGUAUCAGAUGUCAGGAUGUUUCUGGAAACCGAAUAUACGAUCUGCAAGAAGAAAAUUAUACCUCCAAGGAGAGAUGAGCCUUGCCUUCAAGUCGUUAAGGAUUUUUGAAUGAAACAUCUGCAGAGGGCCUGAAAAACUCAUUGGAUGAUGAGAACUGAGAACAGAGAUCAGCAAAGUCAAGAACUUUCUGACUACUACAAGCAGAAGUGAAAGCAGAAAUUGAUAUGAUUGAUAAAAUGUCAGAGAGCCUUGUCUAUAGGAACCAUUUGUGAAAAACAUGGAGCUUCAAGAGCACCAAUAGGUUCAGAAACAGAAGAAGGAAAGAAGCUGUGAAAACCAAGAAUGACACUCAGGGAAACUGCAAAAAGCACUGAAACCUGUUAAAGACAAAGAUAUAGAGAAAAUUCCACAAAACUUGUCAAUGAGUGAACUGCAGGUGUCUUAAGAUUGGCCUUCCAAAAUGGGUACUAAAAACAGGAAAGACAAUAUGAAGACACAAGGUGAUGAUGGUCAUCUUCAAGCCAAAAAGAGAGGCUUGGAAUAGCCCCCAGAUGGAACCAAUUCUGCCAACACCUUGAUUUUGAGCUUCUAGCCUCCAGAACUGUGAGACAAUAAAUUUCAGUUUUU